UGGGGAAUAUUGGACAAUGGGCGAAAGCCUGAUCCAGCCAUGCCGCGUGUGUGAAGAAGGUCUUCGGAUUGUAAAGCACUUUAAGUUGGGAGGAAGGGCAGUAAGCGAAUACCUUGCUGUUUUGACGUUACCGACAGAAUAAGCACCGGCUAACUCUGUGCCAGCAGCCGCGGUAAUACAGAGGGUGCAAGCGUUAAUCGGAAUUACUGGGCGUAAAGCGCGCGUAGGUGGUUCGUUAAGUUGAAUGUGAAAGCCCCGGGCUCAACCUGGGAACUGCAUCCAAAACUGGCGAGCUAGAGUAGGGCAGAGGGUGGUGGAAUUUCCUGUGUAGCGGUGAAAUGCGUAGAUAUAGGAAGGAACACCAGUGGCGAAGGCUACCACCUGGGCUCAUACUGACACUGAGGUGCGAAAGCGUGGGGAGCAAACAGG
rnacentral:rRNA from 1 species